CCGGGGGAAAAAGACCCNAACNGGNAUCCCNUUUAGUAGCGCCGACGGACCCCCCAAAAGCUCAAAUUGAAAUCUGGCUCUUUCAGAGUCCCGAGUUGUAAUUUGAAAGAAAGUUAUCUUGGGUUCUGGCUCUCGUCCAUGUUUCUUGGACCAGAACUUCACCAGAGGGUGACAAUCCCGUGCGAUGAGAUGAUCCAGGCCUAUGUAAAGUUCCUUCGAAGAGUCGAGUUGUUUGGGAAUGCAGCUCUAAGUGGGUGGUAAAUUCCAUCUAAAGCUAAAUAUUGGCGAGAGACCGAUAGCGAACAAGUACAGUGAUGGAAAGAUGAAAAGAACUUUGAAAAGAGAGUGAAAAAGUACGUGAAAUUGUUGAAAGGGAAGGGCUUGAGAUCAGACUUGGUAUUUUGUAUGUUACUUCUUCGGGGGUGGCCUCUACAGUUUAUCGGGCCAGCAUCAGUUUGGGCGGUAGGAGAAUUGCGUUGGAAUGUGGCACGGCUUCGGUUGUGUGUUAUAGCCUUCGUCGAUACUGCCAGCCUAGACUGAGGACUGCGGUUUAU
rnacentral:rRNA from 1 species